ensembl:lncRNA
CUAGAAUCAGUGAACAAGUGAAUUUCCACACUAUUAUGAUCUGAUGCUCUGGUAAAUGUCUGCCACAGGGAUUACCUGGGAAGACAGGAGCACCUGGCCUCCAAGGACAUGUAGGGAAGAGUGUGAGUUAUUUACCUUAUAGAUAUUUGAAUUUUUUUUCCAACUCUUAUCUGACUUGGACCAAAGCUGACCACAUUCAAACCAAGAAGGAGGAGUUGCACUGAGGAGGAUCAGGAUGUGCUUUGAAUUAAAUAUGUUAAUAACAGUAUGUGUCAUUCAAAAGGGGGAAGCUGGCAGUAGAGGAAGGAAGGGGACACUAGGAAAACCAGGAGAGAGAGGUAUUAAAGGGAAAGAAGGUCCCAGUGGACUUCCAGGGGGUGAAGGACUAAAGGUAGGAACAAUUAAAAGUCUCAUAUUUAGUCAGUGUUUAUAAAUGAAUCAGUCAGAAUUUCAUGCUGCAUCACUUGCACCAUACUGGUUAUUAUGUUAACAUGAUCUAUAUUUUAUGUUUUAACUCAAUGUGGUUGACCUUGUUGUGAAGGGUAAGAAUGGCGAGGAAGGACCAAAGGGAAAACAAGGCACCCCAGUACGUUAUUUUCUGUAUUAUUAAUAUUAGCAGUAGUAGUAGUAGUAGUUAUUUCUGUUAUCAACUUCACUGCCACAACAAUAUCAGUACAACUGUAAUCAAUACACGCUCUAUUAAGUGUAUCUGGUGUAUAGGGAGCUUUUUACUAAUAGUUGUAUCUUGCUGUCCUUCAGGGAGAGAGGGGCAUGUCUGGACCACAGGGAUACAGAGGACCGGCUGGUAUUCAGGGUAACAUUGGACCAUGGGGUGGGAUUGGGCCCCGGGGCAUUCCAGGUGACCGAGGGCCACAAGGUCCAGUUGGCCCUCGUGGAGUUACAGGUUACCCAGUAAGGUUUUUUUUAAUGCUUUUCUUUUUAAGAUUGAACUUUAGUUUUCUAAAUGUUUGAUCUUAUUUUUUUUUUCAUUAAAGAUUGAAAGCAAACCAAAAUCAAAGAUAAAACUGACCAAAAAUGAUUAUGCGCUAAUUUGCUAUGGUUAACUCCAACUAUGCUGCCUACGUCCAGACUGAACACCCUGGGGUUUAUAAGGUGCUUGGACCAUCAAUAAUGGCUACAUUACCGUUAUCUGUCACAGUAGGUCAUGAGUCAGCGUGCUCUACCACUGGUCAGGGUUGGCUGCUCUAAGUAACACUUUUGUUCAACAAGCCAAAAUAUCAGUCAUAAAAAAAAUAUUUUCUUGCAACAGCUGUUUUGAGUCUAUAGGCUAACAACAGACCUCUUUGGUUUUGAAAUCAAGGCCUGGUCAUAGUAAGGAUGAAUUACAUCAUAGAUUACACUGGUACUUCAAGCUUGUGACAGUGUCAUCGAGAUUUGUAUUUUUCUAAAACAAUUGCUCAUCAUCUACAACACAAAAUGUACUGUCAAUUUUCAUGUUGUGCGCUGUUCAUCUGCUUUGAACAAAGGGAGCAUGCAGGAGCAUUACUGGAAUCACCCAGACAUCAUUAGGAUUUUGGUGGGGGAUUCAUCAAUCAUCAAUUUAAAAAAAUAUAUGUCUGAGGGGACACUUUAUAUGUCAUUUAUUUGAUCAAUAUAAUGAUUGACAAUUUUUGAUAGAUUUGUCUUCUGUACUUCAGAAGUUUGCCUUAGAGUAAACACAACUGUAGAACCUGAAUUUUAUUUUUAAUUCAAAGACAGCUUUGAACAUAUUUUGGCUAUAUUUAUGUACAGAAAUGUAUGUACAUCAACACACAGCCUUUACACAUAAUCGUUUAGAAAUACAAAUUUAAAUACUCCCCUCCUUUGAGAGAAGCUCAUAUAGGGAGUAAGUCUUUUUUGGGCAAUUGUUGCUUUAAUCUCUCUAUAUUUAGGGUAAAGAUGGAACCCAAGGACCAACGGGAUCAGCUGGUGUCAAAGGAGACAAGGUUAAGUUUUUUUCUACACAGCUCUUGUCUCUUUAAAUGCACCCAUAACUUAGGCUUGGGGUGGUCUCUGAAAAAGUUUAAUGAUUCAUUACUCAGUCGUUUCUGUUUGUCUGUACAUGUUGCAUCUUCAGGGAUCAACAGGGGCUUUGGGGCAGGAGGGAGUUGCUGGUCUCGAUGGUGAGGAGGUAGAUUGAUUAGACUGUGUUGUUUUACCUUUUUUCAUUUAACUG